rnacentral:tRNA from 1 species
UGUUCCUAUAGCUCAGGGGAUAGAGCAUUCGUUUCCUAAACGAUGUGUCGCAGGUUCAAAUCCUGUUAGGAACGU